GUAGGUGGCAAGCGUUGUCCGGAAUUAUUGGGCGUAAAGCGCGCGCAGGCGGUUCUUUAAGUCUGACGUGAAAGCCCACGGCUCAACCGUGGAGGGUCAUUGGAAACUGGAGAACUUGAGUACAGAAGAGGAAAGCGGAAUUCCACGUGUAGCGGUGAAAUGCGUAGAGAUGUGGAGGAACACCAGUGGCGAAGGCGGCUUUCUGGUCUGUAACUGACGCUGAGGCGCGAAAGCGUGGGGAGCAAACAGGGAUUAGAUACCCUGGUAGUCCACGCCGUAAACGAUGAGUGCUAAGUGUUAGGGGGUUUCCGCCCCCUUAGUGCUGCAGCUAACGCAUUAAGCACUCCGCCUGGGGAUACGGCCGCAAGGCUG
rnacentral:rRNA from 1 species